CAAGUCUCGCAGCUCCGUCAGUAUUGAAUGGUGGAACUGCAGCGGACAAUUGGUGCAGCAAUUAAGAAAGUUAGUGAGGAGGCACAGAGAAACGGGGGGAGACGCGCACAUGGCUCGCGGUGCGUUCACGAAGAUUUUCACUCCGCAACGCAAAAGUCUGAAAGUGAAAGAAAAUGUGUCAGGUCAGAUAUUGGUGCAGAUGCGAGGCCCGCAAAUGUUGGCAGAGUUUAAAAAGAGCAAGAAAAGGCGUGCAAAGUUUGCGCCUGGCCGCCGGUGACGCGAGUUGUCAGUGAAGACUUUCUGAUGAAGAGGAGGAUGAAGGCUAACUGGGCUGAGACGCAGGAUUGAGAAAUUGCUUCACCACAGGACUAUCAGGCUGGUUUCCACCACAUUCACCCAUCCUGACAGCCGCUGGGGAAACCACCUCCGCGCAGCUCAUCCGUCGAAAUGUUGCUGACUCAGUUUGGGGUCAUGACAUCAUCAUCAUGAGAUGGGAGGCUGGUGAGCGGUGACCACAGGCAGCGACAGAAGAGGAGGUGCCUGUGUGUCGUGGUUUGCAGCUGCCGGCUCUUGGCAGACAAAAAAAAAUUGCGCUUUGCAGUUGCCUCAGGGAAUAAUUUGCUCAAAUGUCGAAAGGAAGAACAAAUUCAAGAGGUUUAAAAAGGCAGUAAGUAAGAUUUUUAUUGUCACGUUGCACCAAAUGACCAUAAAACACCUGCAGGAGGCUGAUAGUGUUGUUAAUUGUCCAGGUGUUGAGGUUUUUGGGCUUUUCAAACCGGCUUUCCGGCUUGUGGUCUGUUGUGGAGCUAAAUCUCCACACCCAGUGAAGUCAUGCUGGGGCUGUUGAAAUCCCAGCUGGUGGUGAACACACAAGUCAAAGAUUACUGGAGUCCUGAGCAUUUUGCGUUUACACUAACACAACUUUAUUUAACAUCAUGUAGAGACAAGCUCAGAAAAACAGCUGGAAGUGCUGAUGAGGGGCUUUCACACCACAUCUCAUUUAUCUCUGCAGACAGUGAAUUAAUAUUUUCAGUGAUUUACAGGCACUUUGUCACUUUAUAUGUAAAUUAUAGUUUUAUUUCUAAUAUUUUUCUUCUGUAUUUGUGUGUAUAAAUACCAGAACAAUAUUUUUUUUACCACCUUGAACUGUACUAUAAUAAUAUCCUGAGUGAUUAUCACUAAGGAUUUGUACCUUUUAAUAGACUGCUGUGUCAUUUUUAAUUGUAAUUUAAGUUUGUGGCAGCUUAAUAACUAAAUUAACAGAAUUAUUCAACAGAUUUGUAGCUGAGUUCCUGCUGAAAAAAAGGAUGGAUGUAUGUGGUUGAAGGACAGUUUCAAAGGUGUGAAUGUAUUCAGGUAAAGGUGUUCAUUUAAAGGCGAUAAACUAAAACUACAGUGAAACAAAUACUAUUUUGAGGACCGUCAUUUUCAGAGGUUUAAAGCUCAUCUGUAGUCAAAAUCUUGUAAUUCAGACAGAUAAAUUAUAUGACUUUGUAAUUAAACUUUAAACGUUAAUUAUUAUUAUAAUCAUAAUUAUUAUAAACACUGUCUGAAACACCUGUGAAGCGUCCGCCAGCCUGAGUGACUGAAUGAAUUUGUGCUUCCUCUCUGUAUGUUGUAAAUAAUGCACCUUGCCUGUAUUUUCAGAAUCUAAAUAAAUAAAUCAACUUAAAGAUUAA